AGUGAACGCUGGCGGUAGGCCUAACACAUGCAAGUCGAACGGCAGCACAGUAAGAGCUUGCUCUUACGGGUGGCGAGUGGCGGACGGGUGAGGAAUACAUCGGAAUCUACUUUUUCGUGGGGGAUAACGUAGGGAAACUUACGCUAAUACCGCAUACGACCUACGGGUGAAAGCAGGGGAACUUCGGACCUUGCGCGAUUGAAUGAGCCGAUGUCGGAUUAGCUAGUUGGCGGGGUAAAGGCCCACCAAGGCGACGAUCCGUAGCUGGUCUGAGAGGAUGAUCAGCCACACUGGAACUGAGACCCGGUCCAGACUCCUACGGGAGGCAGCAGUGGGGAAUAUUGGACAAUGGGCGCAAGCCUGAUCCAGCCAUACCGCGUGGGUGAAGAAGGCCUUCGGGUUGUAAAGCCCUUUUGUUGGGAAAGAAAAGCAGCAGGUUAAUACCCCGCUGUUCUGACGGUACCCAAAGAAUAAGCACCGGCUAACUUCGUG
rnacentral:rRNA from 1 species